CCUUUGCCGAGCUCAACCCCACAGUUUGGGAACCACUGAUGCAAUGAACAGUUUCUAAAACUGCAUGUCAAACUCUCUGGUCGUCUGUCCAAGAGUUGAGGGUAAACGGUAGACAUGUUCUCUGUUUUCAUUCAUGUUUUCAUUCAUGUUUUUGUGGGGGAGGGGCUUUUUUUCUUCUAGUGUUCAGGGAGGGGUUAUAGGUCAGAUAUAUUUAGCUGAAGGGAGGCCCCUCUCAUAUCGGAGAGGUCUGAUUUUUCUCCAUUAACACUCAUUCUACAUAAUGUUCACUUCCUGAAGAUCUAAUCAGCUAUUCCUCUCAUAAACAACAUACUGUAAGUACGUCCCUAAUGACACCCCUAUUCCCUAUGUAGAGCACUACUUUAGACCAGGGCCCUAUUCCCUAUAUAGUGCCCUACUUUAGACCAGGGCCCUAUUCCCUACAUAGUGCACUACUUUAGACCAGGACCCAAUGACACCCUAUUCCCUAUAUAGUGCACUACUUUAGACAAAGACCCUUUUCCCUAUAUAGUGCACUACUUUAGAUCAGAGCCCUAUAUAUAGUGCACUAUUUUAUACCAGGGCCCUAUUCCCUAUAUAGUGCACUACUUUAUACCAGGGGGAAUAUAGGGGGAAUAUAUAGUGCACUACUUUAGACCAGGGCCCCUAUUCCCUACAUAGUGCACUACUUUAGACCAGGGUCCACCCUAUUCCCUAUAUAGAGCACUACUUUAGACCAGGGCCCCUAUUCCCUACAUAGUGCACUACUUUAGACCAGAGUCCACCCUAUUCUCUAUAUAGUCCACUACUUUAGACCAGGGCCCCUAUUCCCUACAGAGUGCACUACUUUAGACCAGAGUCCACCCUAUUCCCUAUAUAGUGCACUACUUUUGGGCUGGUAAAAAGCAAGGUACUUCAUAGGGGAUAGGGGUGUCAUUUAGGAUGUUUAUCGUCUCUACGUCGGGACAGAGAGGUUUGCCAGUGGAUCUGUAGAUGCUGCCAAAGACAAGAGGAUUUAAAUCAUAGCUCCACCCCCUUACCCAGCAGCCAUCUGACUGUGUUUUUUAAGCGAUAAGAUGUUCCGAUAGAUUGCCGUGAUUUUAAACAGGCAGAUGUUGAUAAGUGUCCACAUCUGAACGUUUUAAAUAAGAUUUUAAAUCCAAAUUUGACAACCAUUGUUCUUGUUUGAUGUUGUGAUACCCGUUUCUGAAACGAGGACUCGCUUCCAUAAUCAUCUUUUUAAAUGUCUUCAUCAAUGUGUGUCUCUCAGAGAAGAUGGCAACUAUUCCACUCUCUGAAAUCAGCACGUGGCUUCGCAAAUCUUCUUAAUUGUGGUGUUUUGAUUAAUAACAAGUAAUGCUGUUUGGUUAAAUAUAAAAUUGUAGUUAGUUGCAUCAUUUGGAAGUCUGUAAUAUUGUUGCUGUUUUCUCAAGUCUGUUGGAGAUCAAUAUAAUACAGUCUGUUGGAGGUCAAUAUAAUACAGUCUGUUGGAGGUCAAUAUAAUACAGUCUGGAGAUAAAUAUAAUACAGUCUGGAGAUAAAUAUAAUACAGUCUGUUGGAGGUCAAUAUAAUACAGUCUGGAGGUCAAUAUAAUACAGUCUGGAGGUCAAUAUAAUACAGUCUGGAGGUCAAUAUAAUACAGUCUGUUGGAGGUCAAUAUAAUACAGUCUGGAGGUCAAUAUAAUACAGUCUGGAGGUCAAUAUAAUACAGUCUGUUGGAGGUCAAUAUAAUACAGUCUGUUGGAGGUCAA
ensembl:lncRNA